rnacentral:rRNA from 1 species
UACGAAGGGGGCGAGCGUUGUUCGGAAUUACUGGGCGUAAAGGGCGCGUAGGCGGCCGAUCAAGUCAGAUGUGAAAGUUCUGGGCUUAACCUGGGGACUGCAUUUGAUACUGAUUGGCUUGAAUGCAGGAGAGGAUAGCGGAAUUCCCAGUGUAGAGGUGAAAUUCGUAGAUAUUCGGAAGAACACCAGUGGCGAAGGCGACUUACUGGACACAUAUUGACGCUGAGGUGCGAAAGCGUGGGGAGCAAACAGG